rnacentral:tRNA from 1 species
GAGGGUAGAGCUCAGUGGUAGAGAGCAUGCCUAUCAUGCAUGAGGUCCUGGGUUCAAUCCCCAGUACCUCCU